rnacentral:tRNA from 1 species
GUGGGUAUAGCUCAGCAACAGAGCACGUGCUUAGCAUGCACAAGGUCCUGGGUUCAAUCCCCAGUACCUCCA